rnacentral:rRNA from 1 species
AUUCAUGGUCAUAGUGCCUUGAAUGUGCUUGAUCUCAUCUUAUCUCAGGAGCUAAGCAGGGUUUCAUUGCUUCACGUUUCUCUCCAUUUAGUUUGGUGUUGGCUACUGGUGUAUUGUAUAUG